UACGUAGGGGGCAAGCGUUGUCCGGAAUCAUUGGGCGUAAAGCGCACGUAGGCGGAUCGAUCAGUCAGGGGUGAAAUCCCGGGGCUCAACCCCGGACUGCCUUUGAUACUGGGUAUCUCGAGUCCGGAAGAGGUGAGUGGAAUUCCGAGUGUAGAGGUGAAAUUCGUAGAUAUUCGGAGGAACACCAGUGGCGAAGGCGGCUCACUGGUCCGGUACUGACGCUGAGGUGCGAAAGCGUGGGGAGCAAACAGG
rnacentral:rRNA from 1 species